rnacentral:lncRNA from 1 species
AAAAACUAAUUACAGAAUUGGUUCUGGAGUGGUCAGGUGAGGGCCUGUUUUUGUGUCUCCGAGCCCCACAGAAAUUGUUUGUUGCUGAAGAAGCUGAACCUGUCCCAUUAGAAGAUCUUCUAAGAGUUUAAAGAAAUCACACUUGAUUCCUGCUGACCUGCACCUCAUCGAGACCCCCGUUGGCCGGAGUGGAGAGGAGUGAGAGGACGUCAGGGAAGGGGAGAUGCUUCGGCACUCCUUAAGGCGGAAAGGAGGGCAAAAUGAUUUUGUUAGAAUUUAAUUUCUCUGUUGGGACAAGCAAUUAAUUUGGAAGAGUUGGGGGGUAUUGUGGUGUUAAGUUCUAUAAGUGAUAGCAAAUUUGAUGGAUAACAUUUAAUUCAUUACACAAAUCGUUAUUGUCUGGUAUGUGUUAAGAGCUAGACUUAUAUGUUAAUAUCUGGUGCACACAUUAUAACUUGAUUUGAUGAGUUUGGUUAGAUACCAGGAGAGAGCCUAACUUGGGAUACAAAUUACAUGAGGACUUCUUUGCCUUGCAUAGAGCGUGGCUUUCAGGUGAGACAAGUGAGCAGCGGCCAAGAUCAGGAAAGUGGCUUCAUGAAAGUAUGGGCAGGACAUUUCUGAUAACUGUGCUGGUUUCUUCCUUUGAGAGGAACAGCUAUCCUUCUGGUUGCCUGAAAGACGGCUGAGUCACUUAGAGAAAGACAGUGCCUGGGGGAGUGUCGGCUACACACUCAAGCCCUCAGCUUUGGGCCACCGCCAUCCCAAGC